rnacentral:rRNA from 1 species
GACGAACGCUGGCGGCGUGCUUAACACAUGCAAGUCGAACGGAAAGGCCCUGCUUUUGUGGGGUGCUCGAGUGGCGAACGGGUGAGUAACACGUGAGUAACCUGCACUUGAAUUUGGGAUAACUUCAGGAAACUGGGGCUAAUACAGGAUAGGAGCUCCUGCUGCAUGGGGGGGGUUGGAAAGUGUCGGCGGUUGGGGAUGGACUCGCGGCUUAUCAGCUUGUUGGUGGGGUAGUGGCUUACCAAGGCUUUGACGGCUAGCCGGCCUGAGAGGGUGACCGGCCACAUUGGGACUGAGAUACGGCCCAGACUCCUACGGGAGGCAGCAGUGGGGAAUAUUGCACAAUGGGCGGAAGCCUGAUGCAGCAACGCCGCGUGCGGGAUGACGGCCUUCGGGUUGUAAACCGCUUUCGCCUGUGCCGAAGCGUGAGUGACGGUAAUGGGUAAAGAAGCACCGGCUAACUACGUG